GAUGAACGCUGGCGGCGUGCCUAAUACAUGCAAGUCGAACGCUUCACUUCGGUGAAGAGUGGCGAACGGGUGAGUAAUACAUAAGUAACCUGGCAUCUACAGGGGGAUAACUGAUGGAAACGUCAGCUAAGACCGCAUAGGUGUAGAGAUCGCAUGAACUCUAUAUGAAAAGUGCUACGGGACUGGUAGAUGAUGGACUUAUGGCGCAUUAGCUUGUUGGUAGGGUAACGGCCUACCAAGGCGACGAUGCGUAGCCGACCUGAGAGGGUGACCGGCCACACUGGGACUGAGACACGGCCCAGACUCCUACGGGAGGCAGCAGUAGGGAAUUUUCGGCAAUGGGGGAAACCCUGACCGAGCAACGCCGCGUGAAGGAAGAAGUAAUUCGUUAUGUAAACUUCUGUCAUAGAGGAAGAACGGUGGAUAUAGGGAAUGAUAUCCAAGUGACGGUACUCUAUAAGAAAGCCACGGCUAACUACGUGCCAGCAGCCGCGGUAAUACGUAGGUGGCGAGCGUUAUCCGGAAUUAUUGGGCGUAAAGAGGGAGCAGGCGGCACUAAGGGUCUGUGGUGAAAGAUCGAAGCUUAACUUCGGUAAGCCAUGGAAACCGUAGAGCUAGAGUGUGUGAGAGGAUCGUGGAAUUCCAUGUGUAGCGGUGAAAUGCGUAGAUAUAUGGAGGAACACCAGUGGCGAAGGCGACGAUCUGGCGCAUAACUGACGCUCAGUCCCGAAAGCGUGGGGAGCAAAUAGGAUUAGAUACCCUAGUAGUCCACGCCGUAAACGAUGAGUACUAAGUGUUGGGGGUCAAACCUCAGUGCUGCAGUUAACGCAAUAAGUACUCCGCCCGAGUAGUACGUUCGCAAGAAUGAAACUCAAAGGAAUUGACGGGGGCCCGCACAAGCGGUGGAGCAUGUGGUUUAAUUCGAAGCAACGCGAAGAACCUUACCAGGUCUUGACAUCGAUCUAAAGGCUCCAGAGAUGGAGAGAUAGCUAUAGAGAAGACAGGUGGUGCAUGGUUGUCGUCAGCUCGUGUCGUGAGAUGUUGGGUUAAGUCCCGCAACGAGCGCAACCCCUGUUGCCAGUUGCCAGCAUUAAGUUGGGGACUCUGGCGAGACUGCCGGUGACAAGCCGGAGGAAGGCGGGGAUGACGUCAAAUCAUCAUGCCCCCUAUGACCUGGGCUACACACGUGCUACAAUGGACAGAGCAGAGGGAAGCGAAGCCGCGAGGUGGAGCGAAACCCAUAAAACUGUUCUCAGUUCGGACUGCAGUCUGCAACUCGACUGCACGAAGAUGGAAUCGCUAGUAAUCGCGAAUCAGCAUGUCGCGGCGAAAAAAAUCUCGGGCCUUGC
rnacentral:rRNA from 1 species